rnacentral:misc_RNA from 1 species
AGUCGUAACAAGGUUUCCGUAGGUGAACCUGCGGAGAUCAUUAAGAUUGGCUUCGCGGCCAAGUUCUCACCCUUUUAACCGAAACCCAUGUUGCUUUGGCAGGCCCCUGCAUUUCUCGGGCCUGCCAGAGGUUAAAACCCUAGAAUCUUGCUGUCUGAGUAUAUACAAUAGUUAAAA